rnacentral:sRNA from 1 species
ACCUGAAUUUCGAAUUGUCGCCUUUAUGGUUUGCGUUCUCUAAAAGAGAUAGGAAUUCAGGUUUUU